UAGCACGUAGGUGGGUUUGUAAGUCAGAUGUGAAAGCCUUCUGUUCAAUGGAAGAGCUGCAUCUGAAACUGCAGAUCUUGAGUGUAGGAGGGGAUAGUGGAACUUCUUGUGGAGCGGUGAAAUGCGUAGAUAUCAGAAGGAACGUCGGCGGCGAAAGCGACUCUCUGGCCUAUUACUGACACUGAGUGUGCGAAAGUUGGGGGAGCAAACGGGAUUAGAUACCCCGGUAGUCCUAACUGUAAAUGAUGGGCACUAAGUAGAGGGGUUUU
rnacentral:rRNA from 1 species